CCUACGGGAGGCAGCAGUGAGGAAUAUUGGUCAAUGGGCGGAAGCCUGAACCAGCCAAGUAGCGUGCAGGAUGACGGCCCUACGGGUUGUAAACUGCUUUUAUACGGGAAUAACGCGCCUUACGUGUAGGGCUUUGCAUGUAGCGUAUGAAUAAGGAGCGGCUAAGUCCGUGCCAGCAGACGCGGUAAUACGGAAGGUCCGGGCGUUAUCCGGAUUUAUGGGGUGUAAAGGGAGCGUAGGCCGCAUGUCAAGCGUGCUGUGAAAUGUUCGGGCUCAACCCGGGCCUUGCAGCGCGAACGGGGGUGCUUGAGUCAUCGGAAAGCAGGCGGAAUUCGUGGUGUAGCGGUGAAAUGCUUAGAUAUGGCGAAGAACCCCGAUUGCGAAGGCAGCUUGCUGCAGCGGAACUGACGCUGAUGCUCGAAAGCGCGGGUAUCGAACGGGAUUAGAUACCCUAGUAGUC
rnacentral:rRNA from 1 species